UACAGGGGGUGCAAACGUUGCUCGGAAUCAUUGGGCGUAAAGCGCACGUAGGCGGUUUGUUAUGUCGGAUGUGAAAGCCCUUGGCUCAACUGAGGAAGUGCAUCCGAAACUGGCAAGCUAGAGUACUAAAGAGGAUCGCGGAAUUCCCGGUGUAGAGGUGAAAUUCGUAGAUAUCGGGAGGAACACCAGUGGCGAAGGCGGCUUUCUGGCCAUCAACUGACGCUGAGACGCGAAAGCGUGGGGAGCAAACAGG
rnacentral:rRNA from 1 species